rnacentral:rRNA from 1 species
ACUACGGGAGGCAGCAGUGGGGAAUAUUGCACAAUGGGGGAAACCCUGAUGCAGCGACGCCGCGUGAGUGAAGAAGUAAUUCGUUAUGUAAAGCUCUAUCAGCAGGGAAGAAAAUGACGGUACCUGCGUAAGAAGCCCCGGCUAACUACUUGCCGGCAGCCGCGGUAAUACGGAGGGGGCGAGCGUUCUCCGGAUUUACUGGGUGUAAAUGGGGCGUAGACGGCAGUGCAAGUCUGGAGUGAAAGGCGGGGGCUCAACCCCCGGACUGCUCUGGAGACUGUACGGCGGGAGUGCAGGAGAGGUAAGUGGAAUUCCUAGUGUAGCGGUGAAAUGCGUAGAUAUUAGGAGGAACACCAGUGGCGAAGGCGGCUUACUGGACUGUAACUGACGUUGAGGCUCGAAAGCGUGGGGAGCAAACAGGAUUAGAUACCCGGGUAGUC